GACGAACGCUGGCGGCGUGCUUAACACAUGCAAGUCGAACGGAAAGGCCCUGCUUUUGUGGGGUGCUCGAGUGGCGAACGGGUGAGUAACACGUGAGUAACCUGCCCUUGACUUUGGGAUAACUUCAGGAAACUGGGGCUAAUACCGGAUAGGAGCUCCUGCUGCAUGGUGGGGGUUGGAAAGUUUCGGCGGUUGGGGAUGGACUCGCGGCUUAUCAGCUUGUUGGUGGGGUAGUGGCUUACCAAGGCUUUGACGGGUAGCCGGCCUGAGAGGGUGACCGGCCACAUUGGGACUGAGAUACGGCCCAGACUCCUACGGGAGGCAGCAGUGGGGAAUAUUGCACAAUGGGCGGAAGCCUGAUGCAGCAACGCCGCGUGCGGGAUGACGGCCUUCGGGUUGUAAACCGCUUUCGCCUGUGACGAAGCGUGAGUGACGGUAAUGGGUAAAGAAGCACCGGCUAACUACGUGCCGGCAGCCGCGGUGAUACGUAGGGUGCGAGCGUUGUCCGGAUUUAUUGGGCGUAAAGGGCUCGUAGGUGGUUGAUCGCGUCGGAAGUGUAAUCUUGGGGCUUAACCCUGAGCGUGCUUUCGAUACGGGUUGACUUGAGGAAGGUAGGGGAGAAUGGAAUUCCUGGUGGAGCGGUGGAAUGCGCAGAUAUCAGGAGGAACACCAGUGGCGAAGGCGGUUCUCUGGGCCUUUCCUGACGCUGAGGAGCGAAAGCGUGGGGAGCGAACAGGCUUAGAUACCCUGGUAGUCCACGCUGUAAACGGUGGGUACUAGGUGUGGGGUCCAUUCCACGGGUUCCGUGCCGUAGCUAACGCUUUAAGUACCCCGCCUGGGGAGUACGGCCGCAAGGCUAAAACUCAAAGGAAUCGACGGGGCCCCGCACAAGCGGCGGAGCAUGCGGAUUAAUUCGAUGCAACGCGUAGAACCUUACCUGGGUUUGACAUGGAUCGGGAGUGCUCAGAGAUGGAUGUGCCUCUUUUGGGGUCGGUUCACAGGUGGUGCAUGGCUGUCGUCAGCUCGUGUCGUGAGAUGUUGGGUUAAGUCCCGCAACGAGCGCAACCCUUGUUCACUGUUGCCAGCACGUUAUGGUGGGGACUCAGUGGAGACCGCCGGGGUCAACUCGGAGGAAGGUGGGGAUGACGUCAAGUCAUCAUGCCCCUUAUGUCCAGGGCUUCACGCAUGCUACAAUGGCUGGUACAGAGAGUGGCGAGCCUGUGAGGGUGAGCGAAUCUCGGAAAGCCGGUCUCAGUUCGGAUUGGGGUCUGCAACUCGACCUCAUGAAGUCGGAGUCGCUAGUAAUCGCAGAUCAGCAACGCUGCGGUGAAUACGUUCCCGGG
rnacentral:rRNA from 1 species